CCAGUAGUAAAACUACAUUGGACACUGCCUUUCCGUCUCCUGUGCCAAUGAAACCGAGGCGAUCAGGCGACACAUAGAGAUUUAGAUUUCAUUAUAUCUUAGCAAAUAUUCAGAAAGCCAGCACCCACAUGAGAAGCCAACAGCUGACAGUCACCCAAGAAGCUGACACCCUGCCCAGACAGCACGGACCUUCCACUCACUCUUAGACAACCAGCCAGACGAAUAUACUGC